rnacentral:rRNA from 1 species
UACGGAGGGUGCAAGCGUUAAUCGGAAUUACUGGGCGUAAAGCGUGCGUAGGUGGUUCGUUAAGUCCGUUGUGAAAGCCCCGAGCUCAACUUGGGAAUUGCAGUGGAUACUGGCGAGCUAGAGUGCGGUAGAGGAAGGUGGAAUUCCCGGUGUAGCGGUGAAAUGCGUAGAUAUCGUAAGGAAGACCAGUGGCGAAGGCGGGUCUCUGGACAGUUCCUGACGCUGAGGCACGAAGGCCAGGGGAGCAAACAGG